rnacentral:rRNA from 1 species
GACGAACGCUGGCGGCGUGCUUAACACAUGCAAGUCGAACGGAAAGGCCCUGCUUUUGCGGGGUGCUCGAGUGGCGAACGGGUGAGUAACACGCGAGUAACCUGCCCUUGACUUUGGGAUAACUUCAGGAAACUGGGGCUAAUACCGGAUAGGAGCUCCUGCUGCAUGGUGGGGGUUGGAAAGUUUCGGUGGUUGGGAAUGGGCUCGAGGGGUAUCAGCUUGUUUGUGGGGUAGUGGCUUACCAAGGCUUUGACGGGUAGCCGGCCUGGGAGGGUGACCGGCCGCAUUGGGACGGAGGGAAGGCCCAGACUCCUACGGGAGGCAGCAGUGGGGAAUAUUGCACAAUGGGCGGAAGCCUGAUGCAGCAACGCCGCGUGCGGGAUGACUGCCUUAGGGGUGUAAACCGCUUUCGCCUGUAACGAAGCGUGAGUGACGGUAAUGGGUAAAGAAGCACCGGCUAACUACGUG